UGCUUCAGCUCCGGCCCCGGGCGCGCCGCUCGCUCUGCGCGCGUGUGCGCCACAGAUAGGGAGGGACGGAACGCGGCGGGGCGCGGGGGAACGUGGACAAUGCGAAUGCUGCGGCCCUGGGCGCCCCGCCCGGGCGCGGACCACACGGCUGCGGGCCCGCCCCACAGCGCCCCGCGGCGUCCUUCCCAAAUCUGCGGUCCCCAGGCACUGUCUGCGGCUGUGACGGGGUCUCUUAGAACUGUCGGGAGAGACUACCAGGCCACUGUCGCCAAGUUUGUAUUUCCCCUUGAGCUCUGAAGAUUCUCCUCUGUGUUAAGGGGCUGUCUUCUGUCAAAAAAUACUUGCCAGAGCCCAAGGAGACAGUAACUGCACCUUCAAAGUUUGUUUUUAAAUGAAUAUUCUGUCAUUGGCCUCUUUAUUUACAAUAUGUAUUUUUAAGUCCUCUCAUGACUUAGAAUGGAAAACAAGCAAACAUUGAUGAACAUGAAACAGGUUUCAUGAAACAAGUUUAAUAAAAAGUCAUGGUACAAACUUUUUUACUAUUUUUUUUUCUUAUUGCUAAUUUUUAAACUAUCUUACUUUUUUACUAAAAGUCUUUCCCACAAUAACCAGUAUCACACAAUCAAUGAAAAUGACUUAAAAGAGGAAAAUUGCUGUGAACCAUUAUUAAAAAAAACAGCUCUAUUUUGUUCUCGUACUGAAACUUUUUGAAGGCCAGCUUGAUUUUCAAGUUGUGAUCUUGUGGACUUUACAAAGUGGGUAAUGCUAUUUGACUGUUGUUCAAAAAGCCAGAAGCAUGUAUCUGCAGUGCCAUGGGGUUGGAGAGGGAUACAGGAUUACACAGCUGUCUUCUUAGAUAAAUCUGACCUACUUAGCCUUCUCUGGAGGUAUUUUUCAUGCUGACUCAUGAACAACAGGAAAGUUAUGGCCCAUUAAGUAGCAUCCAUGUUUUGAAGUAAACUUCUUCUCCAAAGAAGACUCCUGUGUCAUUGAUGCCAUUAUUUGCCUGCAGACGAAAACCAAGCAAGUCUAUAAAUGUGAGUUACAUCUCAACACAUUCUACAUAAAAUUGACAGUGAAGCAUCAAGUCCAAAUCACCUGUCUCUAGUCUAGAGAAGAUUCAACACACCAGGUCACAUGGUGGGUUGUAAAGACUGAAAGAGAUAGUAUAUGUGAGCAGAUAACUAAAGAGGUCCCUGAAACAAGAAGCUGGUACACAGGCCAGUGUCUCAAAGGGAGCAGGGUUCUGAGCAGGAAAUGGCUAAGACAGUCUCCAGUUGUCAGAGGAAGUUGAUGUAAUGAAGGCAAGACUCCGGGAAAAUGUUGCUCAAUUAUUAAGACCAAAUACUUCAGAUCACCUCUGAAGAAGCCCAGAUGUUAUCUCAGAACAAAAAGGUAAGGGGCUGAGAGGAUUAGAUAAAAUAUGUGCAGAAGUGCUUUGCCAACUGAGAAAUGCUUUAUAAAUACUUGCCCUGGAGAUAAGGGCUUCACUCUAAAAGACAA